CCUACGGGAGGCAGCAGUGAGGAAUAUUGGUCAAUGGGCGCGAGCCUGAACCAGCCAAGUCGCGUGAAGGAUGACUGCCCUACGGGUUGUAAACUUCUUUUAUAAAGGAAUAAAGUGAGGCACGUGUGCCUUUUUGUAUGUACUUUAUGAAUAAGGAUCGGCUAACGCCGUUCCAGCAGCCGCGGUAAUACGGAGGAUCCACGCGUUAUCCGGAUUUAUUGGGUUGAAAGGGAGCGUAGAUGGGUUGUUAAGUCAGUUGUGAAAGUUUGCGGCUCAACCGUAAAAUUGCAAUUGAUACUGGCAGCCUUGAGUACAGUUGAGGUAGGCGGAAUUCGUUGUGUAGCGGUGAAAUGCUUAGAUAUCACGAAGAACUCCGAUUGCGAAGGCAGCUUACUAAACUGCCACUGACAUUGAUGCUCGAAAGUGUGGGUAUCAAACAGGAUUAGAUACCCGGGUAGUC
rnacentral:rRNA from 1 species